rnacentral:lncRNA from 1 species
AAAAGUAUAAGUUGGAAAUAUAUGCUAGCUCAAGGGAUCAUCCUCAAUAAGAAGUAUAGAAGGGUUACUUAGACUUAUAAGAAGGCCGAGCCCACCGGCACUUAACACCAUCAACAACAGCACAAAGUUAGAACCUGAAAAACAACAGGGAAUAAAACCCUGAGUAUGGAAUUACUCAGCAAGUCUUACCCGACUAAGGAAAAGACUCUCAAGGGUAUGCUGGAUAAAUAGGAAUCAAGGAGAGGCUUUAGCAAAAAUCAACUUAGAUACUUUUGCAGAAAUAGCUUACUAAAGUGAGUCCUUACUUUCAAUAUUUUAACGCCAUGUUAAGUAUUAAUAGACUCUAUUUGCAUCUAGUCUAAUUUCACCAUCUCAUCAAUACAACAUCAUGUUGAUCCAUAGUGUUCACAUCCUGACUUAGGUUGUAGAAAAGUGACCAAGUCUUCAUAACCGCGAAGGUACGGCGAUCCGAAUCGAUUAUACUCAGCUGAGGAUCUCCAAUCACACGACAUAUGUAGCACUUAACCCUUGCAUAUGUCAACCCGCCACCGGGGUUCUUAAGACCAGAUCAGGUUCACGCAAACCGAGAGCACAGAUACACCACCGUCCAGCCUCUUGCCACGGAGGGUACACGCUACUCUCGCCACCGCUCCACGCCCAUUUCGUGUUAUCUUAUUCUGGCCUUAGUCUGCCCGAGGCAAGGCUUACCCAUGACGAGGCAUGUGACCAGUUAAAGGGUCCUCGGUCAGCACGCCUACAUACGCAUUAAUCCUUAACCAACCUGGGUAGAACAUCACCUGUUCCUAACCCAAGUCUCAAUUUAAGUAUUUCCAUCCUUAGGAUUGUGUCUAUUCCUUGGGAUGAAAGAGCAUCAUAGGGAACUUUGCAGUAAGAUCCCACUAUUGCUCCAAAUGAAAAUAUUCUUGCAGGUAGAAGCCAUCCUCUCCCGGGUUAGACUGAGGACAACCUCUAUCCACAAGAUCUAAGCAAGGCUAAGCAUUUUUGUAAAUCAUAUUUUGAUACUUCACAGAAGUAUCUAUAAAGGUAUGGAUAUCAAGGAAAGCAAUGCAUCAAAGGGUUUCAAGCAAUUCCUAUGAACCUAAUGCACAUUUCACUAGACUUAAGUGUGCGAAAAGUAUUUAAAAACACAAGGAAAGGGGUUGCAUGCACCGGGGCUUGCCUGGGUAACACUAGGUUAGUGUUGUUAGACGACGUCCACUUGAUGAUUAUCCUUGUUGUGAUACUUGUUUCAUCUAUCCGUCUUCAGAUUAGUUCAUCCGCUUUAUCCUGCGGAUUAGCCCGCGCUUGGGGUCGACUUGGGUCGUCUUCCGCAUCACGCGAGUAAUUAUCGUACCUAAUUGAAAUGCACGAUGCACAUGAAUGCAUAGCACUGACUUCACUGUACAACUAAAA